UCCCAGACUCCUACGGGAGGCAGCAGUGGGGAAUAUUGGGCAAUGGGCGAAAGCCUGACCCAGCAACGCCGCGUGAAGGAAGAAGGCUUUCGGGCUGUAAACUUCUUUUGACAGGGAAGAGCAGAAGACGGUACCUGUCGAAUAAGCCCCGGCUAACUACGUGCCAGCAGCCGCGGUAAUACGUAGGGGGCAAGCGUUAUCCGGAUUUACUGGGUGUAAAGGGAGCGUAGACGGCAGUGCAAGUCCGGAGUGAAAGCCCGGGGCUCAACCCUGGGACUGCUCUGGAAACUGUAAAGCUGGAGUGCGGGAGGGGCAGGCGGAAUUCCUGGUGUAGCGGUGAAAUGCGUAGAUAUCAGGAGGAACACCGGCGGCGAAGGCGGCCUGCUGGACCGUAACUGACGUUGAGGCUCGAAAGCGUGGGGAGCAAACAGGAUUAGAUACCCCAGUAUC
rnacentral:rRNA from 1 species